rnacentral:rRNA from 1 species
AGCCUGAUGCAGCGACGCCGCGUGAGGGAUGACGGCCUUCGGGUUGUAAACCUCUUUCAGCAGGGAAGAAGCCACAAGUGACGGUACCUGCAGAAGAAGCGCCGGCUAACUACGUGCCAGCAGCCGCGGUAAUACGUAGGGCGCAAGCGUUGUCCGGAAUUAUUGGGCGUAAAGAGCUCGUAGGCGGUUUGUCGCGUCUGCUGUGAAAGCCCGGGGCUCAACCCCGGGUCUGCAGUGGGUACGGGCAGACUAGAGUGCAGUAGGGGAGACUGGAAUUCCUGGUGUAGCGGUGAAAUGCGCAGAUAUCAGGAGGAACACCGAUGGCGAAGGCAGGUCUCUGGGCUGUUACUGACGCUGAGGAGCGAAAGCAUGGGGAGCGAACAGGAUUAGAUACCCUGGUAGUCCAUGCCGUAAACGUUGGGCACUAGGUGUGGGGGACAUUCCACGUUCUCCGCGCCGUAGCUAACGCAUUAAGUGCCC